CGAUUUUUAAGGGAAAUGCAUUGGAUAGUUUGCUCCAGUCAUCACUAUUCACGUGGCACUGGUCAUUGCUAUGAAUUGAUGUUCAUGCAUGUUGGGAGACAUCAAGUGUCAGUUCUCAAAUGAAUGUAAGGUAGAUGAGUCUGUCUUAAAUACAAAGUGAAGGUGAUGAGAGAGGACACAAGGAAUAGGUUGUGAGUCUAGUCCAUCAUCGAGUCGUGCAGUGGAUCAAGAGAAGCAAGCAGUCAGCAGCCCAGCCGUCAGUUUGAAUAGUGGCAGAGUUUGCAAACGAGCAGACAGACUAGAUGUGUAAGUUAGAGGAGAGAUGGAGUGAUAGUGAGGCGUCUAGAUGAGGUGAGAGUAUGAGAGUGUCCAGUUGUAGGAGGUACACUGUAGUGUUGAAUUGAGUUUUGUUGAAUACAUUACUGUACU